rnacentral:rRNA from 1 species
AUGCACAGCACAUUGGAUUUGAACUACACGUUUGUAAGGAAGGCAGUGGAGGGCACCGUUGAGGUCAGGAUCCUUGAGGCGGAACCUGAUAAUUUCCAUGGGAGAAUCAUCGCUCGCACCAGCAGCUUUCCAUGUGACAUUAUGCUACAUGAUAGCAAACUUGCUGGGAUGCUGACAGCUGGUGAGGGUGGAGUCGUGCAAACAGCGCGCCGCGUGGUCAAUGUAUCGGUUGAUGAGACGCUGCUGUUGACUGUUGCCGUCGCUGCAGGUGGUGUCAGCACUGUCGAGUUCACUCCGAAGCGCGGCGGCUAUGAAGUUGAUGAAGAGAAGAUCACCUGCGGCGACAAUAAGAUGCUGGUGAAGGUCACUUGGUCCAUUGUGCAUCGCUGA